CAAAUUAUGCAAUAUCAUUGCCAAAUUCUUUGUAUUACAACACAAUACAGAAAACAAAGAGCAAUUAGAUAAGAGCUCCACCCUUCACAUAUUCAGUAAAUGCCAACGCAACCAGACCCAACAUAGCAAAUCUACCAUUCCACAGCUCCGCAUUAGAUGUCAUGAACCCGUCUGACUUCGAUUCCACGCUCACCCCUUUAAAUAGAGGAAUUAAAGACGCGAGAGAGAGCACAAUGCUUGUUCCUACAAACAAUGGAAUCCCACCGUCGGAUAGCUGCGCAAAGAAAUCCUGGCCCUUGGUUUUGGAGGAGAUCCUGAUAAGCAUCAAAAUGGGGAAUUGGAUCAGCAAGUGCGGAUUGAGGUGUAGCGGGCGGUACAAUGUACUCCACCUUAGUGUCCAUAUCAUACUUGACCGUUUUGUAAAUACGUGUAGUAGAGGUGUAUUCAUCUCAUUCUUUCCUGUUUAUAUGCUUGGAACAUUGUAGAGGACUCUCCCAUAUACAAAAAUUAUUGACAACACAAUGUAAUGAAUAAGAGACGAUGUCUUUCCACUUUUCAGGGCAUGGUUACCAUAGAGAAAAGUAGACUUGGAGUGGAAUCACGCAAACGCUUUUUUAUUGACAUUGUUAUCUCCGAAUAUACAACUAAAGAAAAAGGUUGAAAUACAUAAAAUAAAAUAACAGUUUUAUAAUUAUAUCAGAGUUUGAUUAAGCUUUUUAUUAGUAAGUGUUUCAAUUUCGAUUGGAUAAUAUGAUUGAUCUUCUGCAUUACAUUUAAGUUUGAGGUUUAAAAAUACGGAUUAAACUUGAGACAUUUUGUAUCAUAAAAUUUUCCUUACAUCUACUUAACAAGUUUAAAUAAUGAAACUGUUAUGAAUUUUAUAAGUUCGAACUUAAAUAUAAUUAACAAGUUUAAAUAAUGAAAUUUAAUAAAUUUAAAAUUCAAACAUUCGAUUAAAAAUAUACAAGACAGCUAAUUUGAAGUCGGAGAUUUGAAAAUUGCUUGAUUUCGUAGAUUAUUACAUGAAUACAAAGAUUAGGGUCGUUCUUUCUGUUACAAAACAUAUAUUUAUAAAUAUUUUUUCACAAAUUAUGCAAUAUCAUUGCCAAAUUCUUUGUAUUACAACACAAUACAGAAAACAAAGAGCAAUUAGAUAAGAGCUCCACCCUUCACAUAUUCAGUAAAUGCCAACGCAACCAGACCCAACAUAGCAAAUCUACCAUUCCACAGCUCCGCAUUAGAUGUCAUGAACCCGUCUGACUUCGAUUCCACGCUCACCCCUUUAAAUAGAGGAAUUAAAGACGCGAGAGAGAGCACAAUGCUUGUUCCUACAAACAAUGGAAUCCCACCGUCGGAUAGCUGCGCAAAGAAAUCCUGGCCCUUGGCAACCUCCACCGCAAUGGCAGCUACAAAACCAACCAUGGCUAGUCUGCCAUUGAUCCUCUCUG
rnacentral:lncRNA from 1 species